AACGAACGCUGGCGGCAGGCUUAACACAUGCAAGUCGAACGCCCCGCAAGGGGAGUGGCCGACGGGUGAGUAACGCGUGGGAACAUACCCUUUUCUACGGAAUAGCUCUGGGAAACUGGAAUUAAUACCGUAUACGCCCUACGGGGGAAAGAUUUAUCGGGGAAGGAUUGGCCCGCGUUGGAUUAGCUAGUUGGUGGGGUAAAGGCCUACCAAGGCGACGAUCCAUAGCUGGUCUGAGAGGAUGAUCAGCCACAUUGGGACUGAGACACGGCCCAAACUCCUACGGGAGGCAGCAGUGGGGAAUAUUGGACAAUGGGGGCAAGCCUGAUCCAGCCAUGCCGCGUGAGUGAUGAAGGCCUUAGGGUUGUAAAGCUCUUUCACCGAUGAAGAUAAUGACGGUAGUCGGAGAAGAAGCCCCGGCUAACUUCGUG
rnacentral:rRNA from 1 species